rnacentral:lncRNA from 1 species
UUUCUAUCCUGUUUUUAUUUUUUAUUUUUUAACAGGUUGCUGGGGAUGAAACUCAGGGUCUCACACAUGCUAUCCAAGAGCUCCACCACUGAACUACACUGGGACAGUGUGCGCUGAUGCACACAGUUUUCUGAAAAACAUUGUUCAGAGGAUUAAUUCUGCUUCAAGAUUGUAUCCAAAAGACCUUGAAUGAGUAGAGUUCCCAAAUCAGCCUAGAUUUGGUCAGGGUAAGUGGAAAGUGACUGCAGAAAUCCUGCAGGUCAAAAGGGAAGUGAAGUAAGCAGGAAGUUAACUUCCUAAGUUUGGGAGGGAAGUCAAAUAGCCAUCAAACCCCUUGUGGCUGAGUUGCUGAGAUGACAAUCUGAUCCAGCUGAAUUAAGCAUAAAGAAAAAAAAAAUCUGGACUCUGCAGGCAACUCUUCACCUAGACAAGAUGAUGGGAUUCUCAUGCUGAAUUCCCACUAGUUUCCUCACCAGUAGUGUCGUCUUUCUAUUGAUAUUGGUCUAGUAGAAGAAUGAUUAUCAGUCA